UGCCAGCCGCCGCGGUAAUACGGAGGGUGCAAGCGUUAAUCGGAAUUACUGGGCGUAAAGUGCGCGUAGGCGGUUAAGCAAGUCAGAUGUGAAAGCCCCGGGCUCAACCUGGGAACUGCAUUUGAAACUGUUUAACUAGAGUGUGGUAGAGGAGAGUGGAAUUUCAGGUGUAGCGGUGAAAUGCGUAGAGAUCUGAAGGAACACCAGUGGCGAAGGCGGCUUUCUGGACCGAUACUGACGCUGAGACGCGAAAGCGUGGGGAGCAAACAGGAUUAGAUA
rnacentral:rRNA from 1 species